rnacentral:misc_RNA from 1 species
GAAAUGCGAUAAGUAAUGUGAAUUGCAGAAUUCAGUGAAUCAUCGAAUCUUUGAACGCACCUUGCGCUCCUUGGUAUUCCUUGGAGCAUGCCUGUUUGAGUAUCAUGAAAUCUUCAAAGUAAAUCUUUUGUUAACUCAAUUGGUUUCUACUUUGGUAUUUGAGCUCUUUGCAGCUUCACACCUGCUCCUCUUUGUUCAUUAGCUGGAUCUCAGUGUUAUGCUUGGUUCCACUCGGCGUGAUAAGUUAUCUAUCGCUGAGGACACUGUAAAAGGUGGCCAAGGUAAAUGCAGAUGAACCGCUUCUAAUAGUCCAUUGACUUGGACAAUACUUUUAUGAUCUGAUCUCAAAUCAGGUAGGACUACCCGCUGAACUUAAGC